rnacentral:rRNA from 1 species
GACGAACGCUGGCGGCGUGCCUAAUACAUGCAAGUAGAACGCUGAAGCGAGGAGCUUGCUCUUCUUGGAUGAGUUGCGAACGGGUGAGUAACGCGUAGGUAACCUGCCUUGUAGCGGGGGAUAACUAUUGGAAACGAUAGCUAAUACCGCAUAACAAUGGAUGACACAUGUCAUUUAUUUGAAAGGGGCAAUUGCUCCACUACAAGAUGGACCUGCGUUGUAUUAGCUAGUAGGUGAGGUAAUGGCUCACCUAGGCGACGAUACAUAGCCGACCUGAGAGGGUGAUCGGCCACACUGGGACUGAGACACGGCCCAGACUCCUACGGGAGGCAGCAGUAGGGAAUCUUCGGCAAUGGGGGCAACCCUGACCGAGCAACGCCGCGUGAGUGAAGAAGGUUUUCGGAUCGUAAAGCUCUGUUGUAAGUCAAGAACGAGUAUGAGAGUGGAAAGUUCACACUGUGACGGUAGCUUACCAGAAAGGGACGGCUAACUACGUG